CACGUAGUUAGCCGAUGCUUCCUCUGUAGGUACAGUCACUUUUUCUUCCCUACUGACAGAGCUUUACACCCCAAGGGGCUUCUUCGCUCACGCGGUGUUGCUGCGUCAGGCUUUCGCCCAUUGCGCAAAAUUCCCUACUGCUGCCUCCCGUAGGAGUAUGGGCCGUGUCUCAGUCCCAUUGUGGCUGAUCAUCCUCUCAGACCAGCUACUGAUCAUCGCCUUGGUAGGCUUUUACCCCACCAACUAGCUAAUCAGCCGCAGGCUCAUCUCAAGGCACCGGAGUUUUCAUACAACAUAUUUCAAUGCUGCACAUAUGGGGUAUUAGCGUCAGUUUCCCAACGUUGUCCCCCUCCUUGAGGUAGAUUACCUACGUAUUACUCACCCGUCCGCCACUUAUGUACCCCGAAGGGCCUUAUCGUUCGACUUGCAUGUAUUAAGCACACCGCCAGCGUUCGUCCUCGAGCCGACGAGUCAACUC
rnacentral:rRNA from 1 species